AGUCACUGACAUUAGAUACCCCGGUAGUCCCAGCCGUAAACAAUGUGCGUUAGGUGUGUCGGCAACCACGCGUUGCUGAUGCGCCGAAGAGAAAUCGUGAAACGCACCACCUGGGAAGUACGGUCGCAAGGCUGAAACUUAAAGGAAUUGGCGGGGAGCACCACAACAGGUGGAGCCUGCGGUUUAAUUGGAUUCAACGCCGGACAUCUCACCGGAUAAGACAGCUGAAUGAUUGUCAAUCUGAAGGUUUUACAUGACUAGCUG
rnacentral:rRNA from 1 species